ACCGUCCUAGAGAUAGGAUUUCCUCUUCGGAGGCCGAGUGACAGGUGCUGCAUGGCUGUCGUCAGCUCGUGUCGUGAGAUGUUGGGUUAAGUCCCGCAACGAGCGCAACCCUUGUCCUUAGUUGCCAGCACAUUAUGGUGGGAACUCUAAGGAGACUGCCGGUGUUAAGCCGGAGGAAGGUGGGGAUGACGUCAAGUCCUCAUGGCCUUUAUAUCCAGGGCUACACACGUGCUACAAUGGCACCUACAAAGAGCAGCGAGACCGCAAGGUGGAGCGAAUCUCAAAAAAGGUGUCUCAGUUCGGAUUACAGUCUGCAACUCGACUGUAUGAAGUUGGAAUCGCUAGUAAUCGUAGAUCAGCGUGCUACGGUGAAUACGUUCCCGGGCCUUGUACACACCGCCCGUCACACCAUGGGAGUUGAUAUUGGCAGAAUACAUUGAGCUAACCUUUUAGGAGGCAGGUGUGCAAGCUAGUGUUGAUGACUGGGGUGAAGUCGUAACAAGGUA
rnacentral:rRNA from 1 species